GCCGUUGUAGCUCAGCUGGUAGAGCACUUCCAUGGUAAGGAAGGGGUCUCGGGUUCGAUUCCCGACAAUGGCUCCA
rnacentral:tRNA from 1 species